AUCAAUUCAUUUGUUAACUUCAAAUGUGCGUGGGUAAAACUCUUAUUUAAAUAGAGAAAAUGUGUAGGAUGUUUUAUUUUCACUUUAUUUCAAAUACUGAUUAAUUAAAUAAUUUCAUUUACUUCUGAUUAUUUAUAUGCUUAUUAUAUCCUAUGUUCAUUUCAGUUCCAUUCCAAUCGUUUUCGUUUAGUUCGUCUCUUAGCAAUGCCUCAUCCGUUGCCAAGCAAUGUGCAGCUACUGGAUACUAUGUGGAGAUCAAAGAUAUAACUAAGUCAGCAUUUACUUCUGGAAGCACAACUCCAUCUAAGAUUGUAUGUCGAGAACACAUUAUAUCCAAUUCAAAGGACUGUUCCUGAGCUUGACAAAGAACUUUACAUAACACAGAAACGAUCUGACACCAUAAAGCUAUCGCAGCAAAAUGUUGAAAAAAUGUCAUUCAACUUGUGGAAGUUCUUACAUCAGGGAGUGAUGAUUACAAAGAGCUUAUGUCUGUUGUCCAACCUUUCUGCACUAAUGAUUCUAAUACCAAUGAAGUUAUGUAUGGCCAAGGCAUUUACCAAAAAGGAGGCUGAUGAUUGAAAUAAAAAGCUGGCAUGAAAAGUACGUUUACAGGACGACUUAUCCCGCCCGCUUAGCUCAGCAGGGAGAGCGCAGAUCUACGUAUCGCGGGGUGUGAGUUCUAUCCACGGGCGAGGCGUAUGUUCUCCGUUACAAUUUGAUAAAACAAAUGUCUGAAAUCGUUCGUCCUUCACCUCUGAUUCAUAUGGGGAAGUUGGCAGCUACUUUCAGAGAACAGGUUUGUACUGGUACAAAAUCAAGGGACACUGGUUAGUUUAACUGCCUGCCGUUACAUAUUAUUAACUGAAAUACUGUUGAAAAACGGUGUUAAACCAAAAACAAACAAAUAAUCAAAAGAUAUGACAAAUUAUUUAUUCAUAUUUUGCACAAUUGUUUAAACUAUUUUAUUAGUUAUGUUCAAAAUGUUAGACCAGAACUCGCUAUGAAGAGAUCAAAGUGUAUACGAGUGUACUUGGUCAAAGGUUAAGUGAGGCUUGGACAUCUUGCACAAAAGAUCACUUUGGAUGCAGUAAGAAGGAUCACUGGUAGAUAUAUAGCUCGUUCGUGUUAUAGUGCUACAGUAAAGAAUAAGGUCUCAACAUAUUUCUACGAUGAUCUGAUCACAUAUGUUUUAAUGAGGACGGUCAUUGAUAGCUAUGUAUAAAACAAUUGUUUGAAAGUUUCAGUACAAACACUAAGAAUAGUUCAUGUGUUUAAGGUGCCAUACGAAAUAUCUGGCUCAAUGGUAACUGAGUAGGUGGCAAAGAGACUCUACCAUGUUACCGCAAAAUACUUACCAGAAAGCCCGAUAUUUCCAUCCGCACUUUCAGCUAAUGAUAUAUUUUUUCUUUUGCUUGCCUUAUUCUUCUUUUCAUAGAAGGUAUAAAAAUUUAUUAAUGCAUUUCUUUUAAUAAAGAGUUAUCUUGCGAACCGGGUUGUCAGACGAGUUUUUUUUUCAGUGCAUAAAAAUCACGGGUAAAACUUGACAUGCAGGAGUAGACGAGUCUUCCAAAUAUUUCCUCUCUGAUUACAAAUGUUACAAUAUUAGGUACCCUUGAAUCAUUCGUUUGAUAUAUCCAGAAGGCUACAACUUUCUGUUCUACAAAUCUUCUACCCGAAAUCAGGAAGAUCAUUUAUUGAUAUUUAUAAAUCAUUUGUGACAUGGUCCAAAACAAAGUAGUGGUUUCAACAUUUCGUUUUUCUGAUCACCUACGUUUUUUGGAUGAGUAUUUAUAAAUCAUUAAGCACAACAUUUGCUUUUGACCUUCAGAUCAAAAUUUUAAGUUGUUUCGGGGAUAAUUGUAAGAAAACAAGUGCGGAACGAAGAAUGUUUUAUUAUCGAACUGUUUAUAAAUGUUGAUUUUCAUAGAACGUUAAUUUGUAAUAAAUGUAGUAGUUGUAAGUGAGUCACUUCAUACUUUAAGCACACACACUUUUCAGGCUAUGUAUUUAUUAAUUAUAAUGAUUUCCCCCAUUUGAAAGCGUUAUUUAUUUCAGUUGUGAGACCAGUUACACAUAUAAUUUGAAGCUUAUCUUUAGAAAGACCACAAGGAAUAUAUAAUAUUAAUCUUGCACAUUAUAUUAUCAUGUUUUAAUUAUUUCAUGAGGUAAACUGUAUGUUUAAAACGUAAACGUGAUAAGGCAAUCUCACAAAACGAUAAUUUAUACAAUUGUUUAAGCUCACGUCUGGCUUCCCAUAGUGUUCAUCAGCUAUCUAUGUUUAACAUUGUAAAUAUAGCCUUAUAUCUUACAAAACUAUUGUGCAUUAUAGAAAAGUUUCUGCUUAUCCAUCAGAUACAAUAAUCAGAUGGCCUCCAAUAACUAGAGGAGUUCUGUUACACGUUUUCUAUGUAGGUGUAAAUUUUACGAUAGAUUACAUUUUUCUAGUUUACUGUCAGAAGUUCAUAAAGAAGUUUCAGGAAAUACUGUGUAUUUUUAAUAGUCAGGUUGUAUGCAAAUAACGUUUUCUUUUCUUUCUUCCCUUUUUUUGCGUUUCAAAAUUACAUUUGUCUAGUUUCCGCAUGACUCAUUAUCUUACUUGUUAAAUUUAAUUAUAUAUACCGAGGCCUCAGUGGCUGACACUUCGAACCACUUGAGCCACCUCGAUGUUGGUUCGAAGUCUCACUGAAGGUGUAGAAUGCUUCAUGUGAGGAAGUGAUCAUGCUGGAUUACUGAAGAUCAGUGGUUAUGCCCAGGUGUCCGCCCAUAAUGCCUGAGACAAUGCAUGUAUUGGUACUUUGGGUCUAGUUCAACCAUCACAAGAAAGGUCGCCUCCAAGUGGCUCUAAUCCAAAAGAAAACAAUACUUCUACGUUAUGAGGUUUUCAUUUAUGUCGUGUUGGGCGACCUGUGGUUUUCCACUCUCUCUGUUUCAUGAUGCACACUACACCUAUUUUUAUUACAGUUUGUCGAAAGUUCAACAUAUACGACAGGUAGUAUUCAAACUGUGUCAAGACAUAAGAAAUACAUAUAUGAAGAAUUUCACCUACAUGAAAUUAACUUUCAUACAGUCGAAAGGC